rnacentral:rRNA from 1 species
UACGUAGGGUGCGAGCGUUUGUCCGGAAUUAUUGGGCGUAAAGAGCUUGUAGGCGGUCUGUCGCGUCUGCUGUGAAAAUCCGGGGCUCAACCCCGGACUUGCAGUGGGUACGGGCAGACUAGAGUGUGGUAGGGGAGACUGGAAUUCCUGGUGUAGCGGUGAAAUGCGCAGAUAUCAGGAGGAACACCGAUGGCGAAGGCAGGUCUCUGGGCCACUACUGACGCUGAGAAGCGAAAGCAUGGGGAGCGAAACAGG